rnacentral:rRNA from 1 species
AGAAUCAACGCUGGCGGCGUGCCUAACACAUGCAAGUCGCACGAGAAAGGGGAGCAAUCCCUGAGUACAGUGGCGCACGGGUGAGUAACACGUGAAUGAUCUACCUCCGAGUGGGGAAUAACUGAGAGAAAUCUUAGCUAAUACCGCACAAUACCCACGGGUCAAAGCAGUAAUGCGCUUGGAGAGGAGUUCGCGGCAGAUUAGUUAGUUGGCGGGGUAAUGGCCCACCAAGACGAUGAUCUGUA